AGUGAACGCUGGCGGUAGGCCUAACACAUGCAAGUCGAACGGCAGCACAGGAGAGCUUGCUCUCUGGGUGGCGAGUGGCGGACGGGUGAGGAAUACAUCGGAAUCUACUCGGUCGUGGGGGAGAACGUAGGGAAACUUACGCUAAUACCGCAUACGACCUACGGGUGAAAGCAGGGGACCUUCGGGCCUUGCGCGAUUGAAUGAGCCGAUGUCGGAUUAGCUAGUUGGCGGGGUAAAGGCCCACCAAGGCGACGAUCCGUAGCUGGUCUGAGAGGAUGAUCAGCCACACUGGAACUGAGACACGGUCCAGACUCCUACGGGAGGCAGCAGUGGGGAAUAUUGGACAAUGGGCGCAAGCCUGAUCCAGCCAUACCGCGUGGGUGAAGAAGGCCUUCGGGUUGUAAAGCCCUUUUGUUGGGAAAGAAAUCCAGCUGGCUAAUACCCGGUUGGGAUGACGGUACCCAAAGAAUAAGCACCGGCUAACUUCGUGCCAGCAGCCGCAGUAA
rnacentral:rRNA from 1 species